rnacentral:rRNA from 1 species
CACGUAGGGGGCGAGCGUUGUCCGGAUUUAUUGGGCGUAAAGAGCUCGUAGGCGGCUCAGUAAGUCGGGUGUGAAAACUCCAGGCUCAACCUGGAGACGCCACCCGAUACUGCUGUGGCUAGAGUCCGGUAGGGGAGCGUGGAAAUUCCUGGUGUAGCGGUGAAAUGCGCAGAUAUCAGGAGGAACACCAGCGGCGAAGGCGGCGCUCUGGGCCGGUACUGACGCUGAGGAGCGAAAGCGUGGGGAGCAAACAGG